rnacentral:lncRNA from 1 species
AAAGACGUUGGCUCGAGUUGUUGAAAGAUUAUGAGCUUGUCAUUGACUAUCACCCGGGAAAGGCUAAUGUGGUUGCGGAUGCCUUAAGUAGUAAAUCACUAUUUUCUUUACGAGCGAUGAAUGUACACUUGUCCGUUCUAUCCGACAAUGUGUUCGUGGCAGAAUUAAAGGCCAAACCAUUGUUGAUCCAUCAAAUUCGUGAAGCUCAGAAAGUCGAUGAUGAAUUGGUUGCAAAACGGGCUGAAUGUGUUCCGAAUACAGAAUCAGAG